CGUGCAGGCGGGUCAUCAAGUCGGGUGUGAAAUAUUCGAGCUUAACCCGGACAGGUCAUCCGAAACUGGAGAUCUUGAGUGCUGGAGAGGAUAGUGGAAUUCCUGGUGUAGCGGUAAAAUGCGUAGAUAUCAGGAGGAACACCAGUGGCGAAGGCGGCUAUCUGGACAGUAACUGACGCUGAGGCGCGAAAGCGUGGGGAGCAAACA
rnacentral:rRNA from 1 species